rnacentral:lncRNA from 1 species
UGUCGCUCACAAUAAAAUUAUUUACAUAUGUACAUACAAAUAUAAGACAAUGUCAAAUGGAGACGUUUGUAUUCUUACACGUGCAACAUUACUUAUGUAAGGAUCUUCUGUACACCUAUCAGUAUGGGUUAAUAUAUAGCGAUUAUUCUUUGACAACAAUAAAUAUGUGUUAUAAAUGGAUUGGAGACAAAUGCAAAUUGU